rnacentral:lncRNA from 1 species
AGAAAUCUAUGAAAUUUUAACACAAGGUUUAUCACCACAAAAGGAAGGUUGGGAUUGAUUUUGGGAGUUUUGGUCCCAACAUUUUAGGUAUUUAAUAGGGGCCAAAAAGGGCCCAAAUAAGCAUUUUCUUGGUUUUCGCACUAUAACUUUAGUUUAAGUAAAUAGAAAUCUAUGAAAUUUUGACAUAAGGUUUAUGACCACAAAAGGAAGGUUGGGAAUGAUUUUGGGAGUUUUGGUUCCAACAGUUUAGGAAUUAGGGGCCAAAAAAGGGCCCAAAUAAGCAUUAUUCUUGGUUUUCGCACAAUAACUUUAGUAUAAGUAAAUAGAAAUCAAUGAAAUUUAAACACAAGGUUUAUGACCACAAAACGAAGGUUGGGAUUGAUUUUGGGAGUUGAGGUCCCAACAGUGUAGGAAUUAGGGGCCAAAAAGGGGCCCAAAUAAGCAUUAUUCUUGGUUUUCGCACAAUAACUUUAGUAUAAGUAAAUAGAAAUCUAUGAAAUUUAAACACAAGGUUUAUGACCAUAAAAGGAAGGUUUGGUUUGAUUUUGGGAGUUUUGGUCCCAACAGUUCAGGAAUAAGGGGCCCAAAGGGUCCAAAAUUGAACUUUGUUUGAUUUCAUCAAAAAUUGAAUAAUUGGGGUUCUUUGAUAUGCUGAAUCUAACUGUGUAUGUAGAUUCUUAAUUUUUGGUCCCGUUUUCAAAUUGGUCUACAUUAAGGUCCAAAGGGUCCAAAAUUAAACUUAGUUUGAUUUUAACAAAAAUUGAAUACUUGGGGUUCUUUGAUAUGCUGAAUCUAAAAAUGUACUUAGAUUUUUUAUUAUUGGCCCAGUUUUCAAGUUGGUCUAAAUCGGGGUCCAAAAUUAAACUUUGUUUGAUUUCAUCAAAAAUUGAAUAAUUG